AACGUAGGAGACGAACGUUAUCCGGAGUUACUGGGCGUAAAGGGCGUGUAGGCGGUUUGUUAAGUCUGGCGUGAAAGCUCUCGGCUAAACCGGGAGAGGUCGUUGGAUACUGGCGAACUAGAGGAUGGUAGAGGCGUGUGGAAUUCCGGGUGUAGUGGUGAAAUGCGCAGAUAUCAGGAGGAACACCGGUGGCGAAGGCGGCGACCUGGUCCGUGACUGACGCUGAGGCGCGAAAGCGUGGGGAGCAAACAGG
rnacentral:rRNA from 1 species